GACGGAGGAUGCAAGCGUUAUCCGGAAUUAUUGGGCGUAAAGCGUCCGCAGGUGGCUGUUCAAGUCUGCUGUCAAAGCGCAGAGCUUAACCCUGUACAGGCGGUGGAAACUGAAGAGCUAGAGUAUGGUAGGGGUAGAGGGAAUUCCCGGUGUAGCGGUGAAAUGCGUAGAUAUCGGGAAGAACACCAGUGGCGAAAGCGCUCUACUGGGCCAUAACUGACACUGAGGGACGAAAGCUAGGGGAGCGAAAGGG
rnacentral:rRNA from 1 species